GCAAACUUGGUCAUUUAGAGGAAGUAAAAGUCGUAACAAGGUUUCCGUAGGUGAACCUGCGGAAGGAUCAUUAAAAGAACUUGUGCCCGAGACAUUCGUGUCCAAGGCCCCCACACUGUGUGCACCGUUUAUCGUUCUUUUUGGCAGGGGCUUUGGGUUUUUCUCCCUUGUGGGGAGGAACUCAAACUUCUCCUUCGGCUCUAUCCUUUAUUCUUUUGAAGAGGACAGCCGGACAUGGGAAGCAGUUUUACCCUGCCAUUGAAUACUUAAACACGCUUUUUGUCUGAACAAUUUUAAUAAAUUGCGACCAUGAAAUUUUUCGUGGAAUGCAAAAAAACCAAACAUAACUUUCAACAACGGAUCUCUUGGCUCUCGCAUCGAUGAAGAACGCAGC
rnacentral:misc_RNA from 1 species